GGAUUUCACUCGAAGGGGAGAUGGAUACUCUUUACGGCUUAACGCAGCGGCUACCACGUUUGCCUUUCCCGGGUCCGCUUUUCGUUAAUGUUAGAUUACUUACGAAAGGAAAAUUUUUCGGACAUCAAAAUACCAAAUUUAACACCUAAUAAUAUUUUUUUACAAAAUUUGGGCAUGACCCGUCUGUAAAACGGACAUGCCCCCUGUUUUGACAUAAUUGACAAUAUUCACCUACGACCCUACUAGCUUUAAACUACCCAAACAAAACAACAAGUUUUCAAGUGUAAGACUUCUAACAAGAUUAACCAAAGUAACAAAACAUGGACCCAAAGCAUGUACAAAAACUAGCGGAAGCGCUUGGUAUAAUAAGGCUUGAUCAUGUGCUCGCUCCAUAUCCCCAAAUGGCCUAUAGCGGAGUUUUACC
rnacentral:lncRNA from 1 species